GCGGGAAUGCUGGAAUUGGUAGACAGGACAGUUUGAGGGGCUGUUGUCAGUAAUGAUGUGGGUGUUCGAGUCACCUUUCCCGCACCA
rnacentral:tRNA from 1 species